rnacentral:misc_RNA from 1 species
ACCCCCUCAAGCCCUGCUUGGUGUUGGGCGUCUGUCCCGCCGCACGCGCGCGGACUCGCCCCAAAUGCAUUGGCAGCGGCCGCUCCGGCCCCGAUUCGCGCAGCAGUUUGCGACCGAUCGGCGGCCCAGCGGCGGACCGCGUCCACGGAAAAGACCUUUCCAAGCCUC